GGAUGUACCUAAUAAAUGAAAGAAAGAGAAAGGAAUAAAACGAAAAACAUGCGAAUACUGGUUUUUAAUACUCAUUUUUCUUCUACAUAUAUAUAUAUAUAUAUGUCUACCUGU
rnacentral:ribozyme from 14 species